rnacentral:rRNA from 1 species
GACGAACGCUGGCGGCGUGCUUAACACAUGCAAGUCGAACGGUGAAGGGGAGCUUGCUCCCCGGAUCAGUGGCGAACGGGUGAGUAACACGUGGGCAACCUGCCCCAGACUUCGGGAUAACGCUUCGAAAGAGGUGCUAAUACCGGAUACGAACUCCUUGGGCAUCCUUGGGGUUGGAAAGUUUUUCGGUCUGGGAUGGGCCCGCGGCCUAUCAGCUUGUUGGUGGGGUAACGGCUCACCAAGGCGACGACGGGUAGCCGGCCUGAGAGGGCGACCGGCCACACUGGGACUGAGACACGGCCCAGACUCCUACGGGAGGCAGCAGUGGGGAAUAUUGCGCAAUGGGCGAAAGCCUGACGCAGCAACGCCGCGUGAGGGAUGACGGCCUUCGGGUUGUAAACCUCUUUCAGCAGGGAAGAAGCGAAAGUGACGGUACCUGCAGAAGAAGCACCGGCUAACUACGUGCCAGCCGCCGCCGUAAUAC